CAGACGGUGAAAUUUGGCCCGGAUCCAAAAAUCUUGGGGGACCUUGACGUAACAAGUCAAAUUGCAAAUUCUGUACUAGCGGCCAAUAUUUCGCAUUUGUAUACUAGAACAUUCCUGGCGGGUUCGCGUCGCGAGCAAAACGACCUUUUACUAAAUAUUGAUCGCUACAAUGAGUUCAAGUUUAGUGAUACAAAAACUGUUUCCGUCCAUAUAAUGUUGUUGGGGCUCCCGCGGUACUGCAGCGCAUCAGAUAUGUUUGCGGAUGCUCACGUGGAUGACUUUACAUCAAUCAUCCGCUAACGGACAGCCUCACUGAUGCGUAGGGUUCGUGCGAGUACUAAGAAUAUCCUGAUGGCUAUAGUUUACCGAAGCUACGAGUCGACGGGUGUGAAUUUCAAGACAAAGCCCAUCUGUUCUUUAUCAAGACCGCAUAGGAGUGAACAGAUUUACGAUUAUUUAAGUACUAAAAGAAACAAAUUAAGAUAAUCCAGAAAAAAAAACCCAUAAAAAAGUCGUAAAGUCAUCAAGCUGCUUCUGUUAUCGUGAACGACCACGAAUAUUUUUUACGACCACGUCGAGUUUCACGUGGAACAAGUAAACAAUUAAAAAGUAGUUCAUUGUUACAUAAACAAAAGAUAGAUAAUGAUCAUUGUAAACUGACACUUACGAAACAGGAAUUAAGAUUGAUGAUAGAACAACUCGUGUAACGCAUGGAGAGCCGCGUGAUGGCCAAUAGAAUAGAACAAUUGAAAACAUUAAUUAAUCUUGUGAAAUUCACAACUCUGCAAAUACACGUGAUCUUAGUAAUCGUAUAAAAAGAUGUGCUAUCCAAAUAAUCAUCGCGAUUCUCUUGAAAUCAUCUUACUAUACCAGCCGUUUCAGACUUAUAAUAAUGACUUUUUUAUUUAUUGGAAGGAAGUCCCUUAUGGGACGAUGCGGAGGGGUACCUUAACCAGGAAAAAACGUCCGUAACGUAAGAUUUUUAUUGUUUAUUAGUCUUAGUAUGAUGGCUAUACAUUGUCUAAUGUAUAGUCUACUUGAUGACGGUUAUUAUUAUUAUUCAUAUGAAUAGCUGUUUCUUGGUAUAUUAUUAUAAUAUAUUUUUUAUAAAUCAUUGUGAAUAAAAUAAAGUUGAUAACUUUGUAAA